rnacentral:rRNA from 1 species
GUAGGUGGCAAGCGUUGUCCGGAAUUAUUGGGCGUAAAGCGCGCGCAGGCGGUCCUUUAAGUCUGAUGUGAAAGCCCACGGGCUCAACCGUGGAGGGUCAUUGGAAGCUGGGGGACUUGAGUACAGAAGAGGAAAGCGGAAUUCCAAGUGUAGCGGUGAAAUGCGUAGAGAUUUGGAGGAACACCAGUGGCGAAGGCGGCUUUCUGGUCUGUAACUGACGCUGAGGCGCAAAAGCGUGGGGAGCAAACAGGAUUAGAUACCCUGGUAGUCCACGCCGUAAACGAUGAGUGCUAAGUGUUAGGGGGUUUCCGCCCCUUAGUGCUGCAGCUAACGCAUUAAGCACUCCGCCUGGGGAGUACGGCCGCAAAGGCUG